rnacentral:rRNA from 1 species
AGACGCUAUGCGCGGCAGGCCUAACACAUGCAAGUCGUACGAGAAGGUGCUCUUCGGGAACUGGAGAGUGGCGCACGGGUGAGUGAACGCGUGGGGACCUACCUCUUAGUGGGGGAUGAACGGUUGGAAACGACCGCUAAUACCGCAUACGCCCUUCGGGGGAAAGAUUUAUCGCUAAGAGAUGGACCCGCGUUGGAUUAGAUAGUUGGUGAGGUAACGGCUCACCAAGUCAGCGAUCCAUAGCUGGUUUGAGAGGAUGAUCAGCCACACUGGGACUGAGACACGGCCCAGACUCCUACGGGAGGCAGCAGUGGGGAAUAUUGGACAAUGGGCGCAAGCCUGAUCCAGCCAUGCCGCGUGAGUGAAGAAGGCCUUCGGGUUGUAAAGCUCUUUCAGAUGCGAAGAUGAUGACGGUAACAUCAGAAGAAGCCCCGGCUAAUUUCGUGCCAGCAGCCGCGGUAAUACGAAAGGGGCAAGCGUUGUUCGGAUUUACUGGGCGUAAAGGGCACGCAGGCGGUCCUGCCAGUCAGGGGUGAAAGCCCGGGGCUCAACCCCGGAACUGCCUCUGAUACUGCAGGACUAGAGACUAGGAGAGGGUGGUGGAAUUCCCAGUGUAGAGGGAAAUUCGUAGAUAUUGGGAGGAACACCAGAGGCGAAGGCGGCCACCUGGACUAGAUCUGACGCUCAUGUGCGAAAGCGUGGGGAGCCAACAGGAUUAGAUACCCCUGGUAGUCCACGCCGUAAACGAUGAGNGCUAGUUUGUCGGGAUUUUCGAUUNUCGGGUGACGCAGCCUACCGCAUUUAAGCACCUCCGCCCUGGGGAGUUCGGGG